AAUCAUAUGAUUAGAAUCGUCAAUAACAUCUAGACAAACUAAGUACUCUCCGGAUCUCCUGUAUCGGUAUUUCAUUCUAGUGUACUCGACAACUUGCCUUGUAUUAGCAUAAAUUAGGUCAGGUGUACCAAUUUCUUCUUUUGUAGGCUCAUCUUUACAAUCCAACGUGAAUUCUGAACUGACAAAUUGAGUUUCUUUGUGAUAUUGGACAUGGUACAUUUGAAGCAUAAUUUUAUCAUUACCCUUCUUAAUUGUCAAUAUACCACGGCUCCAAUCAUUUCGAACUUUAGUUUGAUAUAACCACGGUGGCUCCAAUAAAAUUAAGUAUGAUAAUAUAGAGCUUCACAAUCGAAAAAUAAUAUAAUCAAUUUUGUAAGAAAUCUCCACAAUUACUGUAUCAAUACUUCAUAAAAUAUCCAUAGGUUUAAAUUGACUGGAGUCAACCAUUCUCAAAACCACUAUAGUAGGCAAUAAGUGAUCCAAACCCAACUCCUCCAAUAUAAUGA
rnacentral:lncRNA from 1 species